CCGUGACAGCCUCAGUACUAGGUGACAGUCCCCAGGCUGUGGCAGCGGCCCCAGCCCAAAGGAGUGGGGCAGAAAUGGCGAGCCCCCUGGCCCCUGCCCUGCCCUGCGCCGGGGGAGGAAGGCAGUGGCCCCAGACCCCACCAGCCGAAGGCUCUGGACGCAGCCGGCACAGUGCGCAGACUCGGGUGGUUGUGACCCAGCUUUAUUCUCGUGCUCCUCGUGUCCCGGCCAAGGCUCAGAGGGCACGGGCCGCCUGGCCAGGCAUCCAACAUGCCAGGCCUCCGCUCCCUCCGCCUGCAGUGCCGUUCGCCGGACGUGUCAGCACUGCAAACUCUCCUCCCCUCCCGGUCUCCACUCCAACUUUACCUCCCCAGAGCACCCUGAUUAAAACUGCACCCCACCCAGCCAGCGCUUCUGACCCCCUCACCCUGCUGUCCUCCUUGCCCAGCACAUCACCAGCUCCCACAUCCCAGGGCUCAGCUGCCCGAGGCAGACUGAGCAGGUGAGACGUGGCCGGCCCGGGCCGCGAGGGCUGGGGUACGAAACACCACUGCACUGGAAAGGCUCCGUAGGAGAAAAUAGCCUAGACUACCUUGUGACCGGCUCUUUUACACAAGCGGCGUGUUGAAAUGGUAAUGAUUCAGGCUUAUGGCGUUAAGUAAA